GUUUUAAUAGUUUAAAAAAAAUAUUGGUCUUGUAAAUCAAAGUUAAAUAAAUUAUUUUUAAAACU
rnacentral:tRNA from 1 species